rnacentral:tRNA from 1 species
ACCUGGCUGGCUCAGUGGGUGGAGCCUGGGACCCUUGAUCUCGAGGCUGUGAGUUCAAACCCCAUGUUGGGUA